UGGGGAAUUUUGGACAAUGGGCGAAAGCCUGAUCCAGCAAUGCCGCGUGUGUGAAGAAGGCCUUCGGGUUGUAAAGCACUUUUGUCCGGAAAGAAAUCCUUGGCUCUAAUACAGUCGGGGGAUGACGGUACCGGAAGAAUAAGCACCGGCUAACUACGUGCCAGCAGCCGCGGUAAUACGUAGGGUGCAAGCGUUAAUCGGAAUUACUGGGCGUAAAGCGUGCGCAGGCGGUUUGCUAAGACCGAUGUGAAAUCCCCGGGCUCAACCUGGGAACUGCAUUGGUGACUGGCAGGCUAGAGUAUGGCAGAGGGGGGUAGAAUUCCACGUGUAGCAGUGAAAUGCGUAGAGAUGUGGAGGAAUACCGAUGGCGAAGGCAGCCCCCUGGGCCAAUACUGACGCUCAUGCACGAAAGCGUGGGGAGCAAACAGGAUUAGAUACCCCUGGUAGUCCACGCCCUAAACGAUGUCAACUAGUUGUUGGGGAUUCAUUUCCUUAGUAACGUAGCUAACGCGUGAAGUUGACCGCCUGGGGAGUACGGUCGCAAGAUUAAAACUCAAAUGAAUUGACGGGGUCAUAGCUG
rnacentral:rRNA from 1 species